rnacentral:rRNA from 1 species
CCGUCAGGACGAACGCUGGCGGCGUGCCUAAUACAUGCAAGUCGAACGAACUCUGGUAUUGAUUGGUGCUUGCAUCAUGAUUUACAUUUGAGUGAGUGGCGAACUGGUGAGUAACACGUGGGAAACCUGCCCAGAAGCGGGGGAUAACACCUGGAAACAGAUGCUAAUACCGCAUAACAACUUGGACCGCAUGGUCCGAGUUUGAAAGAUGGCUUCGGCUAUCACUUUUGGAUGGUCCCGCGGCGUAUUAGCUAGAUGGUGAGGUAACGGCUCACCAUGGCAAUGAUACGUAGCCGACCUGAGAGGGUAAUCGGCCACAUUGGGACUGAGACACGGCCCAAACUCCUACGGGAGGCAGCAGUAGGGAAUCUUCCACAAUGGACGAAAGUCUGAUGGAGCAACGCCGCGUGAGUGAAGAAGGGUUUCGGCUCGUAAAACUCUGUUGUUAAAGAAGAACAUAUCUGAGAGUAACUGUUCAGGUAUUGACGGUAUUUAACCAGAAAGCCACGGCUAACUACGUGCCAGCAGCCGCGGUAAUACGUAGGUGGCAAGCGUUGUCCGGAUUUAUUGGGCGUAAAGCGAGCGCAGGCGGUUUUUUAAGUCUGAUGUGAAAGCCUUCGGCUCAACCGAAGAAGUGCAUCGGAAACUGGGAAACUUGAGUGCAGAAGAGGACAGUGGAACUCCAUGUGUAGCGGUGAAAUGCGUAGAUAUAUGGAAGAACACCAGUGGCGAAGGCGGCUGUCUGGUCUGUAACUGACGCUGAGGCUCGAAAGUAUGGGUAGCAAACAGGAUUAGAUACCCUGGUAGUCCAUACCGUAAACGAUGAAUGCUAAGUGUUGGAGGGUUUCCGCCCUUCAGUGCUGCAGCUAACGCAUUAAGCAUUCCGCCUGGGGAGUACGGCCGCAAGGCUGAAACUCAAAGGAAUUGACGGGGGCCCGCACAAGCGGUGGAGCAUGUGGUUUAAUUCGAAGCUACGCGAAGAACCUUACCAGGUCUUGACAUACUAUGCAAAUCUAAGAGAUUAGACGUUCCCUUCGGGGACAUGGAUACAGGUGGUGCAUGGUUGUCGUCAGCUCGUGUCGUGAGAUGUUGGGUUAAGUCCCGCAACGAGCGCAACCCUUAUUAUCAGUUGCCAGCAUUAAGUUGGGCACUCUGGUGAGACUGCCGGUGACAAACCGGAGGAAGGUGGGGAUGACGUCAAAUCAUCAUGCCCCUUAUGACCUGGGCUACACACGUGCUACAAUGGAUGGUACAACGAGUUGCGAACUCGCGAGAGUAAGCUAAUCUCUUAAAGCCAUUCUCAGUUCGGAUUGUAGGCUGCAACUCGCCUACAUGAAGUCGGAAUCGCUAGUAAUCGCGGAUCAGCAUGCCGCGGGUGAAAUACGUUUCCCGGGCCUUGUACACACCGCCCGUCACACCAUGAGAGUUUGUAACACCCAAAGUCGGUGGGGUAACCUUUUAGGAACCAGCCGCCUAAGGUGGGACAGAUGAUUAGGGUGAG